rnacentral:rRNA from 1 species
AUACGUAGGUGGCAAGCGUUGUCCGGAUUUACUGGGUGUAAAGGGCGUGUAGCCGGGUGUGUAAGUCAGAUGUGAAAUCCGCGGGCUCAACCCGCGAACUGCAUUUGAAACUGCGCAUCUUGAGUAUCGGAGAGGUAAUCGGAAUUCCUUGUGUAGCGGUGAAAUGCGUAGAUAUAAGGAAGAACACCAGUGGCGAAGGCGGAUUACUGGACGACAACUGACGGUGAGGCGCGAAAGCGUGGGGAGC